rnacentral:rRNA from 1 species
GCAGUCGAGGGGUAUUUAUCUUCGGAUAGAGAGACCGGCGCACGGGUGCGUAACGCGUAUGCAAUCUACCUUUUGCAGAGGGAUAGCCCAGAGAAAUUUGGAUUAAUACCUCAUAGUAUAUAGAGUUGGCAUCAACACUAUAUUAAAGUCACAACGGCAAAAGAUGAGCAUGCGUCCCAUUAGCUAGUUGGUAAGGUAACGGCUUACCAAGGCUACGAUGGGUAGGGGUCCUGAGAGGGAGAUCCCCCACACUGGUACUGAGACACGGACCAGACUCCUACGGGAGGCAGCAGUGAGGAAUAUUGGACAAUGGGCGCAAGCCUGAUCCAGCCAUGCCGCGUGCAGGAUGACGGUCCUAUGGAUUGUAAACUGCUUUUGCACAGGAAGAAACAACAUUACGUGUAAUGUCUUGACGGUACUGUGAGAAUAAGGAUCGGCUAACUCCGUGCCAGCAGCCGCGGUAAUACGGAGGACCCAAGCGUUAUCCGGAAUCAUUGGGUUUAAAGGGUCCGUAGGCGGGUUAGUAAGUCAGUGGUGAAAGCCCAUCGCUCAACGGUGGAACGGCCAUUGAUACUGCUAGACUUGAAUUAUUAGGAAGUAACUAGAAUAUGUAGUGUAGCGGUGAAAUGCUUAGAGAUUACAUGGAAUACCAAUUGCGAAGGCAGGUUACUACUAAUGGAUUGACGCUGAUGGACGAAAGCGUGGGUAGCGAACAGGAUUAGAUACCCUGGUAGUCCACGCCGUANACGAUGGAUACUAGCUGUUGGGAGCGAUCUCAGUGGCUAAGCGAAAGUGAUAAGUAUCCCACCUGGGGAGUACGUUUCGCAGAAUGAAACUCAAAGGAAUUGACGGGGGCCCGCACAAAGCGUGGAGCAUGUGGUUUAAUUCGAUGAUACGCGAGGAACCUUA